GGUCUGGUGGUGUAGUUGGUUGUCACGUCAGUCUAACAACCCUCGUCCGGCUUACCCCGGACGCGGCUGAAGCACACUGAAGGUCUCCCGUUCAAGUCCGGGCUAGAUCA
rnacentral:tRNA from 1 species